rnacentral:rRNA from 1 species
UUCUGGCAUCGAUGAAGAACGCAGCGAAAUGCGAUAAGUAAUGUGAAUUGCAGAAUUCCAGUGAAUCAUCGAAUCUUUGAACGCACAUUGCGCCCAUUAGCAUUCUGAUGGGCAUGCCUGUUCGAGCGUCAUUUCAACCCUCAGGCCCUUAGGUGGCCUGGCGUUGGGGAUCUGCAGUUGAUCGCAGGCCCUAAAAGAUAGUGGCGGUGCUCGCUAGAAAUCCGGGCGCAGUGGAAUCUUUUUCUCGCCUAGGACGUCUUGAGGGCUGCCGGCCGUAAAACAGCGUAAUUGCUAGAAGGUUGACCUCGGAUCAGGUAGGAAUACCCGCUGAACUUAAGCAUAUCAAUAAGCGGAGGAAGAGAAACCAACAGGGAUUGCCUCAGUAACGGCGAGUGAAGCGGCAACAGCUCAAAUUUGAAAUCUGGCCUCGGGCCCGAGUUGUAAUUUGUAGAGGAUGCUUUGGGCGCCGGUGCCUUCCGAGUUCCCUGGAAUGGGACGCCAUAGAGGGUGAGAGCCCCGUACGGUGGGAUGCCUAGCCUAUAUAAAGCUCCUUCGACGAGUCGAGUAGUUUGGGAAUGCUGCUCAAAAUGGGAGGUAAAUUUCUUCUAAAGCUAAAUACCGGCCAGAGACCGAUAGCGCACAAGUAGAGUGAUCGAAAGAUGAAAAGCACUUUGAAAAGAGGGUCAAAAGUACGUGAAAUCGUUGAAAGGGAAGCGCUUACGACCAGACUUGCGCCUUGUGAAUCAGCCGGCGUUUUCGCCGGUGCACUUCGCUAGGUUCAGGCCAGCAUCGGUUUUCUCAGGGCGUUAAAAGCAGCGGGAACGUAGCUCCUCCGGGGGUGUUAUAGCCCGCUGUAGAAUAUUCUUGGGGAGACCGAGGACCGCGCUCGGCAAGGA